rnacentral:lncRNA from 1 species
AUGCUAGUACUGUACUAGGUGCUAAUUAUUAAGUAAAACCGACUGAACUCUUGCCCUCAUGGAGCUUACAGUUCAGUGGAGAAGACAUUACCUAAAGCAGUAUGACUAAAUAUAUAAUGACAUAUUGUAAUAACUUACAUAACAGUAAAAUGAGAGGUUGGGGAGGGAUUAUUUAUGCUUUAAGAAGUCGGGAAUCCUGGAACGGAAUGACAUUAGACUGAGACACGGAAGAGCCGCAGGAUCUAUCGCUGGGGAAGAGCAUUCCAGACAGGGAGGAACUCGUGCCGAAUGAUCCCGCUGUGGACAGGUUGAGAGCAGAAUUUUAAUAGGCAAAAGAAAGAGAAGAGCUCUCUGCUGCAGACAGGAGUCCUGGAGAAAUGGGUUGCCCUCUUUUUUCUUUUUCUUUUUUUGAGACAGUCUCUCACUGUCACCCAGGCUGGAAUUCAGUGGCGCAUUCGUACCUCGCUGCAGCCUCAACCUCCUAGGCUCAAUCGAUCCUCCCACCUCAGCCUCCCGAGUAGCUGGGACUAUAGAUAUUUAACCAUUUUUCUAUUGAGAUUUGGUCUUCUCCACCCCCCACCACAGAUUUUUGUAAUUAGAGGGCACUUUUCCAAACAAAUGAUUCUUAAGGUACUGCUGUCUCUGAAUAUUAUUUUUAUAGAACAAGCAUAAGUAUAAUUGGA